rnacentral:rRNA from 1 species
AGGACGAACGCUGGCGGCGUGCCUAACACAUGCAAGUCGAACGGAAUCCAUCCAGUGGCAACACUGGUGAAGAUUUAGUGGCGAACGGGUGAGUAACACGUGAGGAACCUGCCCCGAUCUCAGGAAUAACAGUGGGAAACCACUGCUAAUACCGGAUGCCUUCCUUGAGUCUCAUGGCUCGACGAAGAAAGCGUUAGCGGAUCGGGAGGGCCUCGCGGCCUAUCAGCUAGUUGGUGGGGUAACGGCCUACCAAGGCGUCGACGGGUAGCUGGUCUGAGAGGAUGAUCAGCCACACUGGGACUGAGACACGGCCCAGACUCCUACGGGAGGCAGCAGUGGGGAAUCUUGCGCAAUGGGCGAAAGCCUGACGCAGCAACGCCGCGUGGGGAUGAAUGCCUUCGGGUUGUAAACCCCUUUCAGCAGGAACGAAAUGACGGUACCUGCAGAAGAAGGCCCGGCCAACUACGUGCCAGCAGCCGCGGU